rnacentral:rRNA from 1 species
GACGAACGCUGGCGGCGUGCUUAACACAUGCAAGUCGAACGGUAAGGCCCUUCGGGGUACACGAGUGGCGAACGGGUGAGUAACACGUGGGUGAUCUGCCCUGCACUUCGGGAUAAGCCUGGGAAACUGGGUCUAAUACCGGAUAGGACCUCCUGCCGCAUGGUGGGGGGUGGAAAGUUUUUCGGCUUGGGAUGGGCUCGCGGCCUAUCAGCUUGUUGGUGGGGUGAUGGCCUACCAAGGCGGUGACGGGUAGCCGGCCUGAGAGGGCGACCGGCCACACUGGGACUGAGACACGGCCCAGACUCCUACGGGAGGCAGCAGUGGGGAAUAUUGCACAAUGGGCGGAAGCCUGAUGCAGCGACGCCGCGUGAGGGAUGACGGCCUUCGGGUUGUAAACCUCUUUCAGCAGGGACGAAGCGUGAGUGACGGUACCUGCAGAAGAAGCGCCGGCCAACUACGUGCCAGCAGCCGCCGUAACAC